rnacentral:lncRNA from 1 species
AAAUUAAAAAAUAUAACCAAUCACCCAACCAAAAAAUUUAUUGUUGUGAAAACCUAUAGCAAAAUAAAUAAAUAAAUAAAUAAAAAUCACUCAACUAAUCAACCUCUUUGGAGUAAAAAAUUUGAGAGUAGUUUAUUUUUCCAAUGUCUAUUUGUUUCAAAAUGCCAUAGUUGCUUUGUUGUGGGAGCCUAGUGGAGCAUCGGUUUCACGUUCCAUUUCAUUCGAACUGUCAGCUCUUUAGUCACCCUUUCUUCUCGUGAAUAAAGAAAUCAUACAUACUACCAACUAAUCAGCCUCUCUUUGGAGUCAAUUGUACGUGUGUAUUUCCCGAACAUCAAGAUUCAAUCUGGAAUUUGGGUGACGAAUUUUAGGGUUCUUCAUGGAGUUGGGGUUGAAUUUGAGUUUUAAAUGUAUAUGGAGAAAACGGGUUUUAAUUUGUGGUCCAGUUGGCGUGAUUAAAUCUGUUACUUGCCACGUCAUAUUUCCGUCGAACACGUGGCAUAUUCCGUUGGUUGAAGAUAAUGGAGAUAAAAUGGGCGAUAAACAGGUAAGAUAUUAAAUAGAUGGGUGAGCAGUGAGUUAUAUUUUAUUGUUCAGUGAGCACGUAGCAAUAUAGAUUAAAGUUCGAUGAGCAUUCAUUAAAUUAAUUCAAAUUUUGUGUAUUCUGUUUUUGAGGGGCUAGACAAGUACUAGUUGCUAAUUUGAAUUUUCCCUUAUUCUAGUUUUGCAUGAUAGCGUAGCUCUGAUUUACUUCUUGUACCGUCAUGAUAGCAUCUCAAAAGACUAAUGUCUGGAUAAUGUACUUUAUCAUUGCUAAACAAUUUCUGAGAGAUGAAAAUUUUCUGAUACUAUUUGUCUUUUGUUUUUAAUUUUUUGUUUUUCUUUUCCCCCCCCCCCCCCCCCCCCGGUAACUCAUGUUGUAAUUAGUCUUGUUUUUGGGUUUCGGGGCAAACUCAAGGAAUUUAGGACCACGGUUGCAUAGUGUUGCAAGAUAUGUAGUCAAUGGGGGAAAUGGAAAUGAAUGGUUCGCACUAUGAUAAUCUAAUACCUAUCUGAUUCCUUCUUUAAAUUUGUGUUCAUGGGUUUCGAGGAGUUUUUCGUUCUCUUUUAUUUUUGAAUUCUUCUUGUUGGUAACAUCAGUUAGUACCAUUUUCUACUACCUUCCUUUUGGUUCUUUUCACAUUUUGAUAAAUAGAUAGCCUUGGCACAAGCAAAUGAUGCAAAACUUUGAGGGCAACUCUUUAUUUAAAUCUGCACUAUAUGAAUAAACACUUUAAAAGUAUGAACUCGCAACACAAGUUGCAUCGGAUGGUCCAUCCUCUGCUUUCUGGAAUCACAAGCAAAUUGAAAAUAUGACUAAUUACAACAUUACUAUGGCUAAGUAUAUUUUCACGUGAUUGAAAAUAUUCGACAUUUUAUUAGAUUACACCAUUUUAUAUGUGAAAUCAAUUUUACCAAUCUUUUUGCAGCUGCAAUGGUGGUCUAUAUGCGAUAAAGUAUGUAGAAUAUCUGAUCCACAAUAAGAUUGAUGUGAUGCCUAACGAUUUCGAUGCAAGCAAGUGAAGAAUUCGCUAGCAGCUCAACUAUUGAAGCACGGAUGUGAGAAGAUGAUAGAAGAAUACGAGACUCACUAUGAUCUUGUGCCACGUAGCGUCCAGCGUGAUAGGAAGAUAAAGGGCGUGGUUACCACUUAAUUUCAAUAUUUUGAAUACGUAUCCAGAUCAGUAAUUAACAUUGAUGUAGUGUCCUUUCAAGUUUGCCCAUGAUCAGUAAUUAACAUUGAUGUAGUGUCCUUUCAAGUUUAGAUAAUUUUUGGAUGUCACUCUGGUGCAUUGUGUCGCUAGCCAUGGCUAUGUUUAGUGAUGGUUAUACACAUAUAUCUGUAAUACACAUAUCUUUUGAUAUCCACAAUGUGAUACAAGUAGUAGAG